GUGCUUCUAAGAUUUUCUCCAAAAAAUUCUGAGUCGACAUAUUACUUCAGUGAUAUGAUAGGUGGAACCCUGACUUUUUUUCAUGAAGAGGGUUCUAGAAGAUGCCUUGAGCUUUCAAUUACACUGGAGAUGACCGAAACUAUCAGCCGACGCUAUGUACAUCCUUCACGGAGACAUGCUCCUUCUAUUACGAAGGUUCAUAGUGAUCAUCAUGAGGUGGUUGCUGAUUUAAUUCAGACAAGCUUCCUUUUUUCCAUUCCGAUGGAUGGUCCUAUGUCUUUUUCCACUCACUAUGUCUCCGUACAAUGGGCUCUUCGAUUUGAAUUCUUUACCACUCCCAAGAAUGCUGACUUGUCAAGAUAUG
rnacentral:misc_RNA from 1 species